GACGAACUGUCCUAACGUUGUUCGGAAUCACUGGGCUUAAAGGGCGCGUAGGCGGUCCACCAAGUCAGGGGUGAAAUCCUGCAGCUUAACUGCAGAAGUGCCUUCGAUACUGGUGGUCUGGAGGGAGAUAGGGGUGUGUGGAACUCACAGUGGAGCGGUGAAAUGCGUUGAUAUUGUGAGGAACGCCGGAGGCGAAAGCGACGCACUGGAUCUCUUCUGACGCUGAGGCGCGAAAGCUAGGGGAGCAAACGGG
rnacentral:rRNA from 1 species